rnacentral:rRNA from 1 species
AUUGAACGCUGGCGGCAUGCCUUACACAUGCAAGUCGAACGGCAGCACGGGAGCAAUCCUGGUGGCGAGUGGCGAACGGGUGAGUAAUAUAUCGGAACGUGCCCAGUAGUGGGGGAUAACUGCUCGAAAGAGCAGCUAAUACCGCAUACGACCUGAGGGUGAAAGGGGGGGAUCGCAAGACCUCUCGCUAUUGGAGCGGCCGAUAUCAGAUUAGCUAGUUGGUGGGGUAAAGGCCUACCAAGGCAACGAUCUGUAGUUGGUCUGAGAGGACGACCAGCCACACUGGGACUGAGACACGGCACAGACUCCGACGGGAGGCAGCAGUGAGGAAUUUUGGACAAUGGGCGCAAGCCUGAUCCAGCAAUGCCGCGUGCAGGAAGAAGGCCUUCGGGUUGUAAACUGCUUUUGUCAGGGAAGAAAUCCUCUAGGUUAAUACCCUUGGGGGGAUGACGGUACCUGAAGAAUAAGCACCGGCUAACUACGUGCCAGCCGCCGCGGUAAGAC